rnacentral:rRNA from 1 species
CUAGACUCCUACGGGAGGCAGCAGUGGGGAAUAUUGCACACUGGGCGCAAGCCUUCUGCAGCCAUUCCGCUUGUAUGAAGAAGGCAUUCGGGUUGUCCCGUACUUUCCGCUUUUAGGAAGGUGUUGCGGUUAAUACCCUCCUCAAUUGACUUUCCCCGCAGAAUCCUCCCCGGCUAACUCCUUUCCAGCAGCCUCGGCAAUACGGCGGGUUCAAGCGUUAAUCGGAAUUACUGGGCGUAAAGCGGACGCAGGCGGGCUGGCAAGUCGGAGGGGAGAUCCCCGGGCUGAACCUGGGAACUGCAUUCGAAACUGGCAGGCUGGAGUGUUGUAGAGGGGGGUAGAAUUCCAGGUGUAGCGGGGAAAUGCGUAGAGAGAGGGAGGAAUACCGGUGGCGAAGGCGGCCCCCUGGACAAAGACUGACGCUCAGGUGCGAAAGCGUGGGUAGCAAACAGGAUUAGAUACCCUCGUACA